rnacentral:misc_RNA from 1 species
CUUAAACAAAUUUCAAAAAAAAAUCUUAAACAAAUCCAUGAAUGCAUGAGGAUACAUCUAGCAUAUCUUUGAGGCAUAUGAAGCCACACACCAACUUUUAGGAGUAAAUAUCUUCAUCUUCAUCAGCAUAUUCAUCAGUUUUAAUCCUUUCUUUGCUAGGAAACUGAAAGCUUAGACAAUGGAUUUGCUUAAACUAGUAGUUAUG